CUUUUAAAGUGGAGGAAGUUUGACAGUAUCUUAAUGGAUGCACAAGGAGAUCACAGGAAGAUUCCUUUGGGAGCCCCCAUGACAUGGACAGGCACAGAUGCAUCCCUGUGCUCUUUUGAGUACAGGGACUGCUCUCUGUAUCUCUACAUGGCUUUUUUACAUAUAAAUUUCACUGCAGGACAGCAGGCUGCUGUUCCUUGACCAGCUCAUCUGUACCGUGUUGUUUGGAAUGCCUGUGCAGUUCUGUUUGAAAUUGAAACCUCGUAGCUCAAGUAUGCAUUCAAACUUGAUUCAUCUUUGGUGCAUCUGUUUUGUGUGCAGGUGACUCUGACUUGGCAGCAGUAUUCUGUACAGAAGCAAAGUCUCAGGUCUUCUAGGUACAAUAAAUGAUCCUCAGUGGAGAGUUUGUGCAAUACAUCUGGACGUAACUUUAAUGAAGUAAGCCAGAAAAAUUACACUUUACAAUCACAAUGUAGGCUUUAUUUGAGGAGGAAGAGAGCUACAAAACAUAUUUAAUUUAACAAAGAACAGACACAUUGGAACAGAAUAACAUAUUAUGGAUGUUAUUGAAUUUGAUAAUUAAAUACAUCGUUUAAAGUA